GAAGGGAACUAAAAUAUCGUAUUGGUACAUUAUAACAUUAGGCCUGCCAUUAUAAUUUCUGAAUGAAAUAAAAUGCAACUUAUACGUGACAUAUUUCUUUCCUCUCACAAACAUAAUUUAUUUUUAGUGUGUUUUAAAAAAAACAUGCAGCAAAUGAAAAUAGGCGAAUAAUUGGUUAAAAGUUUUGUUACUGUGGGUUAAAAAAUUUACAAUAUAUACUUAGGAACAGAUUCUGGGCCUAAUCUAGGCUAUGUUGUUAACUAUUUACAAGUUUUGUGUAUGUUUUUAUCCAGUUUUUUUUCUUCAUUGCAUCUGAAAAUGGCAUCACAUUCACUUUGUGAGCCUGCCUUCUGUGCUGCUCAGCUGUGGUUAAUUUAAAAAUAACUGUGUUAAUUAAAUUAAAUUAAUUAAAAGAAAAAAUCAAAUUAUAUUGUUAGUUUUAUGCUAACAUGCAAUCAAGAUCUUCGGAUACUAUAAAAGAUACAAGUUCAUUAGACUAUUUAACAUGAACUGUGACAUUUUACCUAACCCUAACUUAUAAACUCCUUAGGAUUUUAAAGUCCACUUAAUAUUCAAUUGGAUUCAAUUUGAAUCAAGUAUAAAAAGGUUUUAAUUGCUUAAAUUAUUUCUAUGAAUUAAUUUAUCACAACCUUUUCAUCAUAUAAUUUUUCACGAGCUGUAUUCAUUUCCGAAACCAAGCACCCAGUUUUUUCUUUUUUUUUAAUCUAUUAUUCGCUUGCAUAUCUCCUACAACUGAGGAAUUUUUCUUUUUCUUUUUUUUUCUUUUGAAAAAGUAACAUGAAAGCACACCGUUCCUCACGGCCAAAAAACAGACCGAAUUCACUUUAGUUUGAGGGUUGGGGUUUGGGGUAGUUCUUUAUACCUUGUGGGUGUUGAAAUAAAGGUUUGAAUUUCUUGCUUUCAUAUGGAUAGUGUCCUAUGGGGGUUUCGAUAGGACAAAUGCCUCGUCAUUUUGGUUUUAGGAGAACUUUGAAGAAAAGUUUUGAUCCACUUUAAAUGUUGACUACUAGCACAAUAUUUGUUUAUUACUUAUAACUAUUAUUAAGUUAUAACUAAAUUUCAGAGGAAGUUGCCUUAAAUGCAAACUGUUAUUAACUGUAUUAACUGUUAAACUGUUUAUUUUGUUGCAUCCAUACAAUAUUUUUUAGAGUUUGAAAUAUAAGUUCUAACAGAAUGUAGCCUAUUCAUUAACAAUAUAUUGAACCAUCUCUUUGUUUUUCUAAAUUCCAAACCAGACAUCAGUAAAUAAAAUGUAUUUUGUAGACUUUCUGUGAUUUACGAUGCUCAAACCAAAAGCAACAGUAUCUGCAGUGAAGGGUUGGCCAUUCGCAAAACAGAAAUAUAAAUUUUAUUUCAGUUUCCGUUUUUGUGUUUCAGAGAAAAAUUCAGUCUUAAGGCAUCGAACCAUUAAAGAUGUUUUGAAAGCAGAAUUCAUGCAAAUCUGUAUAGACUGCUUUAAAAACUUGAUCAGAGAUGACUUGAGGGUAUUUAAACCCUAUUCACGUUCGGUUAUGACAGACAGCUCAGUGAAGCUCUCUCCAAGAUCAACACGGUAUCAGGUUGCUUCAAGUGCAUCAUUCUGCACACUGGAUGUGCACAUUGUAAACGCUUCGUGCUGCACUGUAUUUGUUUUGUCCUAUCAUAUCUAUCAUAUAUUGUUGCCUAAAAAAUAUGCUAUACAUUUAAAAUACAUUUAAUUUUAUAGUAAAUACUUAUAUAUAAAUACAUUCAUGAAUUUUUUAAUGAAUGGAUUUUACAAUAAUACAAAUAGCAAUGUGGAACAUUUUACCAUAUUUACUGCGAAACUUUUAUUUGUUCCCCACAAAAUAGUUUUUUCACUAAAUGUUUAGAUUUCUAAAAUUGAGCACUGAUUUUUCUAUAAUAAUUUUUGCUGCUGAAUUAUCCACUAACCUAGUUUAUGAUCGUUUUUUGUCAUAGAUUAUGAAUUUGCAUAGGCCUAUAUUUUUCCAUAUUAAUUUUUUCUUUUGUUUUUCUUUAUUAUGUAGUAGUCUAGUAGAUUGUGUUGAAUGAUCAUCAAUUCCACACACAGCUAUAUAAAUUCUGCAUUUAUUUAAACAGGUAAAAAAACUUCACUGGUAUUGGAUAGGUAUCUGUAUAGGCCAAUACUGAACCCAAUUGGUAUUGGAAUCGGCAUCGGAGGCAAAAAAGGCAGAUCGGAGCAUCCCUACAAUUAACCCUGUUCAUUGAAACAAACUGCCUUAAAGAACCAGUUUACCUGAAAGACUAUUAUUUCUCUGUUGCCUAAGGCUAUGGUUUACAGGUAAUAAUGUUGUAAAUAAGUUCAGUUUCUUGCACAAACCAAUCGUUUUGCUUCAUAAGACGUCAGGAGCCUUAGGUAUUAAUUUUGUGUUCCUUGAUAUACUUUUUAAUUAUUCUAUAAAAGGGGCAGCCACUGUUUUGCAUUUUAUGAAUCACCAUGGUUUAAGCUAAAAAUCAUCUUUACUGUUCUACUCAAGAAAAAAAGUCACCUACGCCUUGAAUGGUUUGAGGGUGAGUAAAUUAACGGUAAAUAAAACUUUUUAGGUGAACUCUCCCUUUAACAUGCUCUAAUGCAAUACCAUUUGUAUGCCAAAAAAAGUGCUCAAAAAAUUGAUACACCACUAAUGUGAUUGUCUUGAGGUUCUGAGCUGGAGACUGACGCCAGAUAACUACCCUCAGAGUGACCAGCUUCCCCCUCCUUCUUACCUCUAUGGCGCUCAGCACCUGCUUCGGCUAUUUGUUAAACUUCCAGAAAUCUUGAGGAAGAUGCACAUACCAGAAAAGAACCUGAGUGCACUAGUGAAACACUUCGAGCUUUUUCUCAGGUUUUUGGCAGAGUUUCAUGAGGACUUCUUUCCAGAGUCUGCAUAUGUGUCUGCAAUGGAAGCACAUUACAGCAUGAAGCAACCACGCUCAGUCUUCUAAGAAUCCUUUAUAGAGAGAGUUUAUUUUGUGCUGUGUUCUUCUGAAUUUCUGGUCCACCCCUGACACUGAAUGUUCUUCUACUUGCAAAUUCUAUAAAUUUCCUUUAAUUGUUUCACCUGUCCAUUUGUAACUGUUCAUUUGCAGUGCAUAACAAAACUUUCAUGACAAUCUUUUUUUUUAUUUUUUAUGGUUUUACUAUUUUAAAGCAUUUUGAAUACAGUUGUGCAAAAUGAUAAUUUUCUUGUUUUCUAAUUUUUCUGUGGUAUAUUCUGUAUAGUAUAUACCAUUACCUCAAACAAGUAUUUGUGUUUUUUUUUUCUAUCCAAAAUGGAAUGACUGACUACAUUUGCCUUGGUCAUACUUAUUUUGCUUGUCCUUUCCAUUUCCUUCCUCUGUAUGUACUUAAACAAGCAAUUGUGCAAAAGCCAGAUGUUUGUUGCACAUUUGUACAUUUUUGCCACCCAGAAUUGUAGUAACAUUGUUAAUAAUGCAUUUUUUUAUUAUUAUGAGCUCCACUGAUAAUUGCUUUGUCAUGCAUUUACUCAUAAAAAGAUAUUUGCUUUAUUGUACAUUACUGUAUAUAAAGUUAUCUGUGGUAAAAUAUUUCAUCUCUUUUCUUUGUGUGAAAAUAGGACAAGUCUAGAUUUUAAAAAUAUUUUAUCCCAUUAAUUAUAAUGAUUAAGUUGAUUAUUUACAUGUUCCUUUUUCUGUAUAUUCUAUGGUGUAUUGUAUAUGUCUAUCAAAGCCACUGUCAAUUAUUAUGGUGGUGCUUAAUUAUUCAAUAUAUUAUUCAAACAUUUGUUUACAGUGUUUAAAUGAGAGAUUGGUAUCAGGAAAAUUUGUGUUUUAUUGGCAUUGAUUUCAAAAGUUAAACAAUUAUUUAAUUAUAGAAUGUGUAAACAUUAAGAUGUCGCUUUUAUUACUGAAUUUGUAUUAAACAAAUCUAGAUUGACAUGUCCAUAGGUUUGUCAACACCUGUGAUGACAAGAAAGGCUGUGCCCCCAUUACUUAUUUAAAAUUUUGUGUCUCAUUGGAGAUGCUCUAAGCUUUCUGCAGAGCAGCUGCCAAGCAAAACUAUGGAAUGCCAAAGCUUCCACAAAAAUGUAUAAAUAUACAAGGAAAUAUAAAAAGAAUAAUAAAUGCAUAAAUCCACAGAGAAAUGCAAAUAAAUAAUUAUUUUUAUUUAUGUUUUCUUAUUUAUGUACAUCCCCAAUUCCAGAAAAGUUGGGACAUUUUGUAAAAUGCAAUAAAGUCAAGAAUCUGUGACUGGUUAA